GCGGCAAAGGCAGUUUGUACGAGGCCUGCCGCAGCAACUUAUCUAACUUUUCCAGAGGACUUACCUGUUGGUACCACACUGUAUACUUAUUCUGGUAUUGACCGUGACGGAGAUACUGUCUACUACUUUGCACUGGGAGGUGCAAAGGAACCAUUCUCUUUUUCAGGAAGAGUUUUAUCAUUAAGUUCUGCCCUGGACUUCGAAAAUCCGACAUCUUCUUACAUUGUGCAAAAUAUUGGAGUGCGGGAUAGGUUCACCAACAAUGUCGAUGCUAAUUUUUGUCCAGCACUGGUUAUCAAUGUACUUCCUGUCAAUGAAUAUGAUCCGGUCCUUACCCCCACGUCGCAGACUGUCACCAUUCCGGAAGGUUCACCCCAGGAUUUGUACGUUGCUGAUGUUGCGUGCAGUGAUCAGGACAAGGAGCCUGUCGGAGAACCUGACGGAUGUUCUAUAAUAUCUGUUGAGUCUGGAGAUGAUGCUACACCGAAGUUUUAUCUGACUUCGAACAUAGUUAAUGAUACAGUUUUAAAUGCUACGAUUUUAACAACUAACAACGUCAUUGA